rnacentral:rRNA from 1 species
GGCGGCGUGCCUAAUACAUGCAAGUCGAACGAGAGCGACCGGUGCUUGCACUGGUCAAUCUAGUGGCGAACGGGUGAGUAACACGUGGGUAACCUGCCCAUCAGAGGGGGAUAACAUUCGGAAACGGAUGCUAAAACCGCAUAGGUUCUUGAGUCGCAUGACCCAGGAAGGAAAAGAGGCUUCGGCUUCUGCUGAUGGAUGGACCCGCGGUGCAUUAGCUAGUUGGUGAGGUAACGGCUCACCAAGGCCGUGAUGCAUAGCCGACCUGAGAGGGUGAUCGGCCACAUUGGGACUGAGACACGGCCCAAACUCCUACGGGAGGCAGCAGUAGGGAAUCUUCCGCAAUGGACGCAAGUCUGACGGAGCAACGCCGCGUGAGUGAAGAAGGAUUUCGGUUCGUAAAACUCUGUUGUUAGAGAAGAACAGCGCAUAGAGUAAACUGUUAUGCGUGUGACGGAU